rnacentral:rRNA from 1 species
UACAUAGGGGGCAAGCGUUAUCCGGAAUUAUUGGGCGUAAAGGGUGCGUAGGCGGCCAAUUAAGUCUGACGUGAAAUUUCACAGCUUAACUGUGAAGGGUCGUUGGAAACUGGUUGGCUUGAGUACAGUAGAGGUAAGUGGAAUUCCAAGUGGAGCGGUGGAAUGCGUAGAUAUUUGGAGGAACACCAGUGGCGAAGGCGGCUUACUGGGCUGGAACUGACGCUGAUGCACGAAAGCGUGGGGAGCAAACAGG